rnacentral:rRNA from 1 species
GACGAACGCUGGCGGCGUGCUUAACACAUGCAAGUCGAACGGAAAGGCCCUGCUUUUGUGGGGUGCUCGAGUGGCGAACGGGUGAGUAACACGUGAGUAACCUGCCCUUGACUUUGGGAUAACUUCAGGAAACUGGGGCUAAUACCGGAUAGGAGCUCCUGCUGCAUGGUGGGGGUUGGAAAGUUUCGGCGGUUGGGGAUGGACUCGCGGCUUAUCAGCUUGUUGGUGGGGUAGUGGCUUACCAAGGCUUUGACGGGUAGCCGGCCUGAGAGGGUGACCGGCCACAUUGGGACUGAGAUACGGCCCAGACUCCUACGGUAGGCAGCAGUGGGGAAUAUUGCACAAUGGGCGGGAGCCUGUUGCAGCAACGCCGCGUGCGGGAUGACGGCCUUCGGGUUGUAAACCGCUUUCGCCUGUGACGAAGCGUGAGUGACGGUAAUGGGUAAAGAAGCACCGGCUAACUACGUG